UACGUAGGGUGCGAGCGUUAAUCGGAAUUACUGGGCGUAAAGCGUGCGCAGGCGGUUUGUUAAGACAGAUGUGAAAUCCCCGGGCUUAACCUGGGAACUGCAUUUGUGACUGGCAAGCUAGAGUAUGGCAGAGGGGGGGUAGAAUUCCACGGUGUAGCAGUGAAAUGCGUAGAGAUGUGGAGGAAUACCGAUGGCGAAGGCAGCCCCCUGGGCCAAUAC
rnacentral:rRNA from 1 species